rnacentral:misc_RNA from 1 species
UCGUAACAAGGUUUCCGUAGGUGAACCUGCGGAAGGAUCAUUACUGAUUUGCUUAAUUGCACCACAUGUGUUUUUUAUUGAACAAAUUUCUUUGGUGGCGGGAGCAAUCCUACCGCCAGAGGUUAUAACUAAACCAAACUUUUUAUUUACAGUCAAACUUGAUUUAUUAUUACAAUAGUCAAAACUUUCAACAACGGAUCUCUUGGUUCUCGCAUCGAUGAAGAACGCAGCGAAAUGCGAUACGUAAUAUGAAUUGCAGAUAUUCGUGAAUCAUCGAAUCUUUGAACGCACAUUGCGCCCUUUGGUAUUCCAAAGGGCAUGCCUGUUUGAGCGUCAUUUCUCCCUCAAACCCCCGGGUUUGGUGUUGAGCAAUACGCUAGGUUUGUUUGAAAGAAUUUAACGUGGAAACUUAUUUUAAGCGACUUAGGUUUAUCCAAAACGCUUAUUUUGCUAGUGGCCACCACAAUUUAUUUCAUAACUUUGACCUCAAAUCAGGUAGGACUACCCGCUGAACUUAAGCAUAUCA